AGAAGAAUAGGAUUCGAUGUCGUCACGUUGUCCGGCACCCGGGGGCCUUUAUCGAGAGUUGGGUUAGAGCCUCCACCUGGAAAACGUGAAUGCCGAGUUGGGCAGUAUGUGGUCGACCUGACUUCUUUUGAGCAGUUGGCACUACCCGUCUUGAGGAAUGCCGACUGCAGCAGUGGCCCAGGGCAAAGAGUGUGCGUCAUCGAUGAGAUUGGGAAGAUGGAGCUCUUCAGUCAGCUUUUCAUUCAAGCUGUUCGUCAGACGCUGUCUACCCCAGGGACUAUAAUCCUUGGCACAAUCCCAGUUCCUAAAGGAAAGCCACUGGCUCUUGUAGAAGAAAUCAGAAACAGAAAGGAUGUGAAGGUGUUUAAUCUAUCUUGAAAUAUACACUACCUUGUUAUUUACUCUGUAGUCACCGUACUGUGUCAUAGAAGACCAGAGCAAAUUCUCCAGCUGUGUAUCACAGUCCACUCUCACAGAGCCUGGCUGGAGGCAGAAGCUACUGCAAUCACUGCUGAACUCAGAGUGGA
rnacentral:lncRNA from 10 species